AGGUGAGGUAGAGGUCGCGAAUUGCGAUGAGUAGACUGUGAAGAGGCGUAAGAAGCCGCCGUAUCAUUCACAGGUCGAAAGGCGCCUUUCGCCGAAGUAUAUAGGCUGCUUCAAUUAGCCGCGUAUGCUGGGUCUGUUUUCCGAAUAGGGGCAGAACUGUCAUAGUUUCCUUCGAUAAGGAAGCUAUGUUGGGCUAUCUUUCAU
rnacentral:ncRNA from 1 species